UACGAAGGGUGCAAGCGUUACUCGGAAUUACUGGGCGUAAAGGGCGCGUAGGCGGUUCGCUAAGUUGGAUGUGAAAACUCUGGGCUCAACCCAGAGCCUGCAUCCAAAGCUGGCGGGCUAGAGUUCUGGAGGGGGUAGCGGAAUUCCUGGUGUAACGGUGAAAUGCGUAGAUAUCAGGAGGAACACCGGUGGCGAAGGCGGCUACCUGGACAGAAACUGACGCUGAGGCGCGAAAGCUAGGGGAGCAAACAGG
rnacentral:rRNA from 1 species